UUUCCCUCACCUGGUAGUUACCUCCACAUUUUCCUGCCCAUGAUCUCCACAACAACUCAACCUCCUUCGUAGUGCUCACAAUUUCAGUUUGCCGUCGGUUGUCUUAGGUCUCCUCCUCAUCCAUAAAACUGUCACCCCAACCCACAAUGUACAUCCCCAAAUCAAAACGCAAAAGUGGAGAGAUCAGAGGGUCCUCUUCCCCUCAGACCCCAUAUGCACCUCCUCACCCGUCGGUACAAUCAAUGACGUUUUAAAAGUUCAAGAUGUGAUUUAAAAAACAGAUGAUGGUCUCUUAGUCUUCAUCUCCCUUUCCCUCUUUUCUCUUUUCUGACUCCCUCUCCUCUUAAUCACUUGAAGAAAGUGUUGAAGGAUGAUGAAGAAGAAUAAGUGGGCACUGCAUGAACAAGCGCUUCUCAAAAUGCUACAAGCUCAACCGGGCUGCUGAACUUCAUAAUUUGUCUAAAUGGGCGAGAUGACUGUCGGUCCCAUAGAAGCCUUAUAUAUGGACGAAAUACAUGAAGGCAAUAGGUUGUUCAUCCAAAGAAAAACAUGCAUUUUGCUUGAAAUGAAAAGGUUAGUAGUGUAUGCUAUAUUGAGUUAUCUCAUAAUACCUUACAGUUUUGAUGAAACCUGAAGUGGAGAUCUAUAUAUCCUUUUUUUAGUAAGGUUGAUAAUUGUACUAACUAUAUGCAGAUAGAAUGUGUCAAAGAGUAGAUAUAAUAUGAAGCAUUUAUAUAUACAAAUUUGAAUCCAUGUAAUUUAGUAGCAAAAUAACUCGUGUUAGUUUUAGCAGCCAUAAUUUCUUUAGCAACCCCUUUCAUAACCUGAAUAUCGAAUAACCGAACUUAUUUGAGUUGGUCCUCGGUUGAAGUGUCGAGCCACCAAAACCUGACUAACCCGAAACACCGAUAAAAAAUACCUGAUAAACACCCCUCACUUUAUGUAUUGAAUAUAAUAUAUUUUUGGAACUCCUAUAACUAAUCUUGAUGUUUAACUACUCAUAUUAACUUAGUCUCGAUGGUUUGCAGAUUUACAUCUUUUGUCAUGUAGGUUCUUUGUAGGAGGAAGAAUAUGUUGGAGAUCUGUAUUGUGUUCUUUGGGUGGGUCGUGGGUCGUGGGUCCCACGGUGUGACUAUGCCAACAACAUAAUCAUUCUAGAUUCAUAUAUGUUAAAUUUGCCUACCAUUUACUUUUGCAUUUAAAGGACACAAUUUCGUGUUUUAGUACUCUAUCAGCUUUAUUUUCUAUCAUUUUGUGGUUGUAUAAACCGUUGACAUUUGUUUUGCUUUUAUAAAUUAAAGAUUGGUGCUUUUA